rnacentral:rRNA from 1 species
GACGAACGCUGGCGGCGUGCCUAACACAUGCAAGUCGAACGGUGUGGCGAACGGGUGAGUAAGACGUGGUUGCUCUUCCUUGACCUUCCGGUCAAGCUUGGGAAACUGGUGCUAACACCGGAUAGUGCAGGAUGAGCGCGCGGCCUAUCAGCUUGUUGGUGGGGUAAUGGCCUACGAAGGCGGCGACGGGUAGCCGGCCUGAGAGGGUGUACGGCGCCAUUGGGACUGAGGUAGGGCGCAGAAUGGAACGGGAGGCAGGAGUGGGGAGUAUUGCACAACGGGCGGAAGCGUGAUGCAGCGGCGCCGGGUGGGGAAUGAAGGGCUUCGGGUUGUAAACUACUUUCGAAAGAGACGCGGUACCUAUAUAAGAAGCACCGGCUAACUACGUGCCAGCAGCCGCGGUAAUUC